UGGGGAAUUUUUGGACAAUGGGCGAAAGCCUGAUCCAGCAAUGCCGCGUGUGUGAAGAAGGCCUUCGGGUUGUAAAGCACUUUUGCCCGGAAAGAAAUCCUCUGGGUUAAUACCUCGGGGGGAUGACGGUACCGGAAGAAUAAGCACCGGCUAACUACGUGCCAGCAGCCGCGGUAAUACGUAGGGUGCAAGCGUUAAUCGGAAUUACUGGGCGUAAAGCGUGCGCAGGCGGUUUUGUAAGACGGAUGUGAAAUCCCCGGGGUCUUAACCUGGGAACUGCAUUCGUGACUGCAAGGCUAGAGUAUGGCAGAGGGGGGUAGAAUUCCACGUGUAGCAGUGAAAUGCGUAGAGAUGUGGAGGAAUACCGAUGGCGAAGGCAGCCCCCUGGGCCAAUACUGACGCUCAUGCACGAAAGCGUGGGGAGCAAACAGGAUUAGAUACCCUGGUAGUCCACGCCCUAAACGAUGUCAACUAGUUGUUGGGGACUUCAUUUCCUUAGUAACGUAGCUAA
rnacentral:rRNA from 1 species